UAAGCGUCAAACCCCAGGAAGUGCCUCUAGUGGCUGUCAAGUAAACAGCCACUAGAGGCACUUCCUUGGGUUUGACUCUGUG